rnacentral:rRNA from 1 species
UGACCUCAAAUCAGGUAGGACUACCCGCUGAACUUAAGCAUAUCAAUAAGCGGAGGAAAAGAAACUAACAAGGAUUCCCCUAGUAACUGCGAGUGAAGCGGGAAAAGCUCAAAUUUAAAAUCUGUCAGUCUUUGGCUGAUCGAGUUGUAAUCUAGAGAAGUGUUAUCCGCGCUGGACCGUGUACAAGUCUCCUGGAAUGGAGCGUCAUAGAGGGUGAGAAUCCCGUCUUUGACACGGACUGCCAGGGCUUUGUGAUGCGCUCUCAAAGAGUCGAGUUGUUUGGGAAUGCAGCUCAAAAUGGGUGGUAAAUUCCAUCUAAAGCUAAAUAUUGGCGAGAGACCGAUAGCGAACAAGUACCGUGAGGGAAAGAUGAAAAGAACUUUGGAAAGAGAGUUAAACAGUACGUGAAAUUGCUGAAAGGGAAACGCUUGAAGUCAGUCGCGUUGUCCAGGGAUCAACCUUGCUUUUGCUUGGUGUACUUUCUGGUUGACGGGUCAGCAUCAAUUUUGAUCAUUGGAAAAAGAUUAGGGGAAUGUGGCAUCUUUGGAUGUGUUAUAGCCCUUGGUUGCAUACAAUGGUUGGGAUUGAGGAACUCAGCACGCCGCAAGGCCGGGUUUUAACCACGUACGUGCUUAGGAUG